CCUACGGGAGGCAGCAGUGGGGAAUCUUGCACAAUGGAGGAAACUCUGAUGCAGCGAUGCCGCGUGAGUGAAGAAGGCCUUUGGGUUGUAAAGCUCUUUUGUAGGGGAAGAUAAUGACUGUACCCUAAGAAUAAGGUCCGGCUAACUUCGUGCCAGCAGCCGCGGUAAUACGAAGGGACCUAGCGUAGUUCGGAAUUACUGGGCGUAAAGCGCGCGUAGGCCGUUGAGUUAGUUAAUUGUGAAAUCCCAAAGCUUAACUUUGGAACUGCAAUUAGAACUGCUCGACUAGAGUUUGAUAGAGGAAAGCGGAAUACAUAGUGUAGAGGUGAAAUUCGUAGAUAUUAUGUAGAACACCAGUUGCGAAGGCGGCUUUCUGGAUCAACACUGACGCUGAGGCGCGAAAGUAUGGGUAGCAAAGAGGAUUAGAUACCCCCGUAGUCCAUACCAUAAACGAUGAUUGCUAGAUGUUGGAAAUUUAUUUUCAGUAUCGCAGCUAACGCAUUAAGCAAUCCGCCUGGGGAUACGACCGCAAGGUUAAAACUCAAAGAGUAAUGGACCGAGAGAGACGACGACGACGACGACGACGGAGGAGAG
rnacentral:rRNA from 1 species